AGUUUUAUCAGGUAAAGCGAAUGAUUAGAGGUCUUAGGUUGUAACAACCUUAACCUAUUCUCAAACUUUAAAUGGGUAAGAUGAGUAAGGCUACUUGAAUGAUUAUCAAUGAACUCAGAAUUCAAUUCAUUGACUCUGAUUCCUUGGUAGUCGGGGUGUGAUCGUUCGCGGUCAUAUCUCAUGAGCCUUCUCGCUCAAUGGAAGAGUUCUUAGUGGGCCAUUUUUGGUAAGCAGAACUGGCGAUGCGGGAUGAACCGAACGUCAAGUUAAAGUGCCUAAGUGUACGCUCAUAUAGAUCCCAUAAAAGGUGUUGAUUCAUUUAGACAGCAGGACGGUGGCCAUGGAAGUCGGAAUCCGCUAAGGAGUGUGUAACAACUCACCCUGCCGAAUGAAUCAGCCCCUGAAAAAUGGAU
rnacentral:rRNA from 1 species